GCAAAUGAUCGGACCGUGUUGUGAUAUUGUCUUUAUAAAAUAAUCACCACACGCGGUAAUAUUUCGGCUUAGCAAUAAAUAUUUACGAAUUAUGUGUUUUGAUGUAACGUUUCGAAAUGUUGCAUUAACUUCCGCCAAUUAUGACUGGCCUCCCAAGCUAAGCACCCUAGAGACUCGUAUUAUGAAGGGAGGGUGCACUAAUCUAGGAUCAAAAGCAGGAAGGUGCGAACUCUCUUUGUCUCUCCUCGCCCGAGUCAUUCACCCUCCUGUGUGUGAUAAAUCUACACUGGCGCCAACUACGUAUGGGAUGAUUAAUUUGCAAGCAAACAAAAGGGAAUUGAUGGCUAGCCAUCUUAGUUAAACAUUCGCCAAUACCGCAAGCUACUUGUUAGCCGUCAGAGCUUUAAAACCUAGAACACCGUACAAAGAAUGAACGUGUAUAUUAAGAACUGCCGGCAACAUUACUGGUGUUGCACUUCUUGCAGAUCGAGUCUGACAGCCCACACCACAUGAAACUGCAAGCAGAAUGAGUGGGUUACGUGCCAUGUGAAUCCUCACAGCUUGUACCAGUGACGAGACACGCCCAUUGCGAAUUGGCACUAAGUAUCAACUUCUUUCAAACAAAUGCAAAGAAAAAGUUAUUUUGUUCAGCAAAACGGCAAAUUGCAAUGACUCCGAAACGACAGUCAAGACACCAAAACGAUGACAUUAUUUAUAAAGGCAGUUUCAAUUGCUUUUCUUCAGCACCAGGAUUAUUACAUGUCAAACUGUUUUUUUUUGACCAGCUCAGAACUUUGUGAACGUUACGCGUAAACAGCUAAGUUAUAAGGCCUGGGUAAUGUGACCCUCCAAACAAAGUCGCAGACUAAACAUGAGGCAUGGGGUAUGCCAGUUACAGUGAUGUUCUGAGAGAAACGCUGUUGAAAGAGGCUAUGUUCGGCGAUCAACAGAAACAAGUUAGAUAUUUUUAAAUCACUAACAAUUAGUCAGUCUCAUUUUUCAAUAAUUUAGAGAACAUAUUGCUAUUAGUAAGACACGAAAGUUGGAGAAAUGUCGGUGAUUGAGUUUUUUUCUCUGUGGAGGGAGACAAGCUCGCAUAGACAAAGGAGGUUGACAUUGAUUAACGUGAGAGCUCUGGUCGAUUGAUAGUGAACUCUGAACGUCAAAUCUCACAGAGAACUCUCAGGAAACGACCAGGAUUUUCCAACACUUGUGGAUAUCUGGGUGUAUUUGGCGAUUGCAAAGAAAAUCUUUAAUUGAAAUAAAUAGCAGUGCCUUCAACUUUUACCAUUCCAAUGGGGGAGGAUGCUCAUGUUUAUGGUGGAGGCAAACAAAAGGGGAGGGGGAAUAAUCAUAAAUAAACAGAAGUAAACAUCGAUUUGAAAGUCCGUAACAGGCAAAGAAAGAAUGAAGAAUGAACGAGAGACGCCCAUUGCGAAUUGGCACUAAGUAUCAUCACAAACAGAAACAUCGACAGUGGGAAACAAGUAGAAAAACUGCUGCAGAAAUAGAAACAUUUAACAAAUGACCUUUAUGAACUAUGCAGUGACAGUUCAACAAGAGUUAUAUCCCAGAACAUAUGUGACGCUUAGGCUUGAUUGUGACUUUCUUGAUAAGACUUAUGAAAUCGUAAGCUUGGGCGAGCAUGUCCAAAAUGCUGGAGCCUCCAAUCAAUGCUGAUCUAUAAAUCUUGUCCGAAAUGCCUUGGAUGUUUUACUAUGUUAAAGGCGCUGCCUAAAUGUAAGUUGUUGUUGUUGCUAUUAAUUUAAGUUUUGAGCAUUCUGUCGUUACAUUCAAUAUCCUAGACUAUUGCGGAACCAUCACGGCUGGAUGGCUAGCGACAUACAUUCGUCGUCUGCAGCAGAAAUGCGUAUUAUGAAUUAAUAGCCUUUCCAGGAAGUCCUUUAAUGAGGUCAUGAAACAAGACAAUGGUAGGUUAGGGCGGAUGAGCAACUAAGAUGCUGGAGGAGGGAAUUCAAGCUGUAGUCUUCAACUUGGCUAUCAAAUUUCUUUAAGUAGCUUAUGAAUUAUUCCAAAGUUAAUUUAAGACAACUCUACAUUGUACAAAAUCAUAAACGAUUGGUAUGGUUAUGAUAGCUUGCACUUUGUUUUAAAUCAGUUUCUUUCCUGUACUUUCAUUUUAUUGUCGCCGCCUAACUCCGCUCCCCCAACAUACUUAAUUUUAAACAAACAUUUGCUAAAUAUCUUAGUUAUCAUCGAUACAGAGCAGUCAAUGAACCCUUCCGAUUAGCCAAAGUAUCAUAAAAUGUGAACUGUCAGGUUCUCCUGUGUCUCUCUAGAUCAAUAGAAAACUUCAUGUUCCAAACACAGACUAUAGCAUACAAAAUUACAUUUAACUGAAAAGAAACGUGCAGAAACUAAAAAAAAUUAAAACAGUCUUAACCAUAAUUGUUAGUUUUAAACUACUUUCUCAAACCAAAACAGCAAAAUCUUUUCAGGUGUAUGUUGCUAUAUAUAUGCAGUGGAACUGUGUGAGCAAAACUAAGGAACUGUUGAAAAAUUCAUAGCCUGGAUGUGCAGCCAACAGCCAAUGGGCAAUACCACAACUGAACUUGGUAAAAGCAACCCAUAAAGGUUUAGCAGCCUCCUGGGCACUGAUUUCCAAUCUGAUGUGAAUUUGAACCUUGUGUCAUCUACAGGAGACUGUGCUACAUGACAAUAGUCAAUGGCCAUGAGAUGGACUGGUUGGCCAGUUAGCUUGAAGAGUUUUCCCAGUUAGCAAUGUAGGAGGUAAAGAUGAUGGAUUGUGAAAAUCAUUUCACAGAAAGUGAAACAAAGAGUUGGAACUUGACAUUAGAUUAUGGUAGAAACUGAAAUAUAAAAUCUAUGUCUUUAAAAUAAGAAAAAGUUUUAAAGUCAUUGUUUAAAAAAAAUGCAGAUUUUAAAUAUUCUGAGGAAGUGCCCCUCUAUGCUUGUAAAAUUAACCUUUCAAGAUCAGAGCGAUGGUUCAUGAGUAAUUAAAAAUUAAAUGACACCUUAGCCAGUAAGGCUGAACAUUGUUAAUCAUUUUUUUUCAUGGCGAGAUUAGUCUGUAAAAAUUUGUGGUUCAUUUCAAAUUAUUAGCUCUGUUCACAAAGAUUGCAACAGGGUAUCUGUAGUCAAGCACAGUACUACUGACAACUUCAGUGUUUUUGUCUUUAGUUACACUUGUGUGAAUGCUAGAAGUUGCUGUCAGUUGUAUGCUUUAAUUAAGAUGAGUAUGAUAGUUUCACCAUCACGUGAAUCCAAAUUCUGGGGCAUUGAAUAUUGCUAUUCCCUCAUUCAGGUGGCAUCUUUCGAAAGAACUGUCAUUCUCAAAUUUAAAAAGAACAAGAGAUAAAAUAUAUAUUAUAUUGAUUGGCAGAAAUGCCCUGCACAUUUGCACUUGCUUCAAUCAUAGGACAUUUAUUCUAAUACAGUAAUCAGCUAUUAUGCACAAAACUGAAUUUAAUGUUUCUCUCUUUAGAAAUGCAACAUAUUUUCUUCUUACAAUUCCAAUCUUAAAUAUAAUGCAAUAUAUGAAGAGCAAGAGCUGUCUGGUCUAUCAAAGAAAAUAGAUUAUUCCCAAAUCAAGAAAAAAAUACACAUCAGUACCCAGUGUCACACCCAGAUUCUGCAUUAUCUACUGACAAAGACAACAAUUUUUUUUAUCAGAAGCAGUGAUAACCAUAAUUUGUCAAUGUUUGUAUAGCUACAGUCUUAAAUAAAAAAAAAUGUGAUCCAAAAUAGGAUGGAUCAUUAAGUCUUUUAGAUCAACAUUAUUUGAGUAAAUUAUGUAUCAAUUAUAUGCACUCUUAAACUUAAGUGCAAUAUGCAAUGAACCCUUCUACUGAGAGCAAGCAGUUGUGCAGCAGAAACUUAAACUCAUGCAUUUUGCAGGUUGAAAAUACUUUGUAUAGAUUGUGGUUUAGCCCUCAGCAUCUGAAUGUAAAUAAAACUGAAUGCCCUUUAUUUUGUGUUUUCCAAGAUAUUUUGCCAUCCCUUUAUAGAAUUUCAAGAGCUCUUCCAGGAACAAAAUGUUUGAUUGAUUUCUGGUUUACAAUGAAAACUCUCCAAUCAUUUAGUAAAUUGAGAAUACAAUUGCAAGUAAAAGUACCCAAAAACCUUAUUUACUGUACAGACAUCAUUAGAUUAGAGUCAGAUUCUCCCCCUCUUAAUUGAUAAAGAUUAAACUCAAUACAUUAUUUCAGCAUUGUCACAUGUAUGGGCACAACAGUAGGGACAUUAUUAGAUAGAAUCAAGCAUCAAAUAAGUUAUUACUGUGAUAUUAGCAGCUAUAUAUUUGUAUUAUUCUGGUCAUUGUUUUAUGUAAGAUAAACUUGCUUAAAAUACAAUUAGCUAAAAUAUUGGGCAAAGAGACAUUAUUAUGAAUGUAUGAAACACAAAUACAAUAUUAAAUAGUUUCACUGUUUCAGACUUCAAGCCUGCCUUUAACAUUCUAAUUGUUUGCAUUAAGGACACAACAGACAAGAUACUGGGAGUUGAUGUUAAUAUGCAUGAUUAUUACCUUAGCAACUAAACAUUAUGGGCAGAAUUUUAUACUUUACAUUCAGCGUGUUUGUAGUCAGUAUCCCGGAAAAUUUCUCAUUUGGCCUUGACAUCACCUUCAUACAUGCACCCAAUCUGGCUGCAAUUUUACUGAAGGUGGGUGAGGUCUUCCUGCCCUUGCUUCAGCUGAUGCACUUAAGUGUAGCCUAAAAUUUGUUCCUGCCCAGCCUCAGUUGUAAGGCUGGCAGGAAGAAUUCUUGGACAAACCUCACUGCAUCCCCACUUGGGCCUUGGGAAGGAUGAGUUUCUCAAGAGCCCAAUUCCACGACAAGCUCCCAUACUUUCAACAAGGUCUGCCUUCUAAGGGUGCAACCUAUACCAUAGUCUCUGUGUGAAGAUCCUUGUCCCAUGUUUCCCUAUCUCCCAUGGGUCCCACCUACCCUCCCUGCUGAGAAACCACCCACAUUUACCAGGUCAUGGACUCUGGGAUUUACACGCUGGGGAGUGUUUGUAGCCUCAGUUCUGGUCCUUGUUGCUACUGGCACAGCUUGGAUUGCAGAGCUGCCUGCCAAUCAGAUUAGUGAAAGUCCCAUAAAGCAGGAUUUUGGUCAGAGAGAGGGCCGGAAGCCCAAUCUCCAGCCACUUAACAUUGAAUGAGCUGUUAACUGGAUGUGGGUCUGGCAUGAUCAACAACCAUGCAUUCCUCAACCCAGGAAACCCUUCCCCUGUGAAAAAAAUCCUGCCCUGUGUCUUUCACACCUCUCUGCAUGUACCCUUCACUGAUCUUUUAGUGGUGAGAGGCCAGAUCAAAAUCACUGACCUGCUUUACUUCAUAUGCAGCAAGUGAAUUUAUGUUUUUCACUUUAACCCAAGAAAUAUAGCAUAACCUGCUCAAGAUCAAGAAACCAAAUAAAAGUACAGCAUAAUUAUCUGAGUCAGCUUUAUACUUUGAAUGGCCCUGGAUAAAGAUAACAUUAUUUUCUUUAGACAAUAUAAUAUUCCCAGCUUUGUGACUGACAAUUCUUGCAUCAGCUCUCUCUCUCUCUCUCUCUUCUUCACAGCAAGAGGCUGGUGCCUCAGAUCCCUUUCUGGUUUCACCAGCAGGAUUGUUAACCAAACUUUGAGCCUUCUGCAACCAGUGUGCUUUCAGAUUACCAGACACUGAUGAAAAGAGUCAUUUCCAAUACGAUGAGUUGGAGCAUUAACUCUGUGAGAUAAGAUAAUUAAAUGUUUAAUGUCCACUAUCACUGCAGAAAUUUCCAUCAUUAUUUUUUCCAAACUACCCUUACUCCUCCCAUUCAUUCUCAAUGGUUUUGAGGUGUGGGAAUUCACUUUAUUGCUAAAAUCAAAUUGAAUUCAUUUGGAAAUACUUUCUUUGAAAUAAAAAUGAUCAAAAUUAGAAUUGCGUCAUAACAUCUGAAAUAUAAUCUCUCUGGAUGGGCAAAUCUUUGAGAGUGAUGAUGCUAUUUAUGAGACUUUAUAAUCCUAUGUGCUUAGCCACAGCAACUUUUUGCAUAAAGGGCUGUACCCUAAAUACUGCCAUGAGGAAUGUUUAGGGAAAUAUGUCAGUACCAAUGAGAACAUCAUAAUUGUUAUAAUAUGUUAUUACUCAGUAUCUAAGUGCACUGAAAAUCAAUUAUACCAUGGACGUGUUUCAAAAAUAAAUGCAAGUGCUAAAUUAUAUUUCAAAGAGAACCUAACUAAUGUGGUUGAUUCAUUUUAUGACAAGAACAUUGUGAACUUUUCCUGAGGGUUCUUUGUAGCAAUCGGCAUAUAGGACAUUAUUUAUUACACAGGAACAUAGGAACAUUGGAAAUAGGAACAGAAGUGGGCCAUUUGGUUCUUCAAACCUGCACUGUCAUUCAGCUUGAUCUUGGCUGAUCUUCUAUUUCAUCAGCAUUUUCCUGCAUUAUCCACAAAUAUUUUGCUACCUUUAAUGCCUGGCAUUUCUGUUGAGGAUGUACUUGAUGAUUGAGUUUCCAUGCCAAAAGCGGUAAAGAAUUGCAAAGAUAUCUCACCCUCUCAAUAUAGGAAGUCCUCUUUGUCUGAGUUCUAAUUUGAGACUCUGUCUCAUGUUCUAGAUACCCAAGUCAGACAUGUACCCUCUAUGAAUUCUGUGUUCUUCAAUAAGACCACCUCUCAUUUUUCUAAAUGCUAGAUAAUAUAGACCAGUCUUCUCAAUCUCGUUUCAUAGUGCAAUUCUACCAUCCUAGAGUUCAGUCUGGUUAACGUUUUGUUGUAGUUCUUCUGUGACAAGCAUAUCUUUCCUUAAGUAACAAGACUAAAACAGAUGCAGGAAGAUGUUUUUACACCAGUACUCAAAUCUUUUUGCAAUGAAGGUCAGGUACCAUUUGCCUUUCUAUUUGCCUAUUGCACCUGCAUGUUAGGCUUUCAAUGAUUUAAGUACAAGCACACACUAAUCCCUUUGGACAUCAAUGCUUCCCAUUCUCUUACCUUUUAAGCAAUGCUUUGCAUUUCUAUUCUUCCUACAGUGGACAACUUCUAAGAUUACAAAGGGAUCUUGAUCAAAUGGGUCAAUUGGCUGAAAAAUUGCAGAUGGAGUUCAGUCUGGAUAAAUGCAAGAUAUUGCAUUUUGGUAUAGCCAACAACAAUAGGGCUUAUACAAUUAAACGGUAGGGCCUUAGGUAAUGUUAUUGACAGAGAGAUUUAGGGGUGCAAGUACAUAAUGCUUUGAUGCUUGCAUCACAUACAGACAGGGUGGUUAAAAAGUCAAUUGGCACAUUUACCUUCAUUACACAGUCGAUUGAGUAAAUGAGUUAAGA